CAGGGACAGGUUGUCGGGUGACACCAGGAGAGAGGGACAGGUUCUGUUGGUGACACCAGGACACAGGAAUAGGUUCUGUCGGGAGGACAGUGCUGAUCGUGUCUCAGCAUCAGGAAAGGAGAAAGGCAGAGGGAGAGCACUGAGAAGACUGUUCACGCCAGAGUGCUUAUUUAUUUUUAAUUUACUGCUAUAGGAUAAGCAACCAGGUAGUGUUCCUAACAGUUAGCGUUACCAAAAUUAAAGUUCAAAUUAUAUGUUUAAAAUAUUGUAGAAGAUAUAUAUUUAUACUGGACUACUUUUACACCUUCUAAUAUCCUGUCCAAGUUUGGGCGCAGAUGGUGGAGUUGGGCUGGCAUCAUGUCCUGUGGCCGCCCCACUUGCCUUUUGGUGCCACUCCAUCCCGGGCCCCAGGGAUGCCAGCUCAGGGCUGACCACAGCAGCCCUGCGUGGGCAUCACCUCCUACCCCAGCCCCCAUCCUGGGCUGCUGCGGCCGCCUGCUUUUGUGAAUGGUGUUUUGUUGGCACAGGGCCUGUCCUGUGUUUUCACACAGGCCUGUGGCUCCUGCUGUACAAGUGGAGGGGGGAGGAGUUGAGAUGGAGACGCCUUGGCCCUGGACACUUACCUGUCCCUCUACUGGCCCAGCUCAUCUCCUCCUGUGGGCAAUCACGCGUGCACUGGCCACCCUCCCACGCCACAGCACACACCACGAGGGGAUGGCACAGGGGGAAGAUGAGGCUGGACCAUGAUGUUAUCAAUAGGCUAGAACGUCCUUCAAACACUGAACCUGCAUCUUUCCUCCUCUUACUACUGAACACUUUGUGAGCUCUGGUGGUCCAGGGUGCAGCGUUUGUCCCCGGGCAUGUGAUGGGGAGUCCUGGGCACAUCGAGAUGCUUUACUUCUUUCUUUCGACCUCUUAAAAAACUAAACCAAGCCAAACCACAAAGGAAAUCUGCACAACUUAAGAGAAACUUGAAAGGGAUCGUGUAACUACUAGUUUGUACUAAGUUUUUUUCAAGAAAGGGAAACAAAUUUAUAUAUAUAUAUAUAUGUGCAAUAUAUUUUUACACUGUGUGAUUAACAUUAGGGAGUACUGAGUGCAUCACUUUAUCAGUGUGACGGGUGAUGUCCACGUCAUGGCUGUUCUGACUCUGAAAGCCACUUCUGCUGAUGUUUAAACCGCACUCACCGCGGACGUCCGCAGGGUGGGGUGGCCCUGCUGUCCCUCCUGCAGGUGAGAGGCGUGGUGUUGCCUGUUGGACUUGCUGUUGAGCCUGGCUUGCAAACCUGUAGUGAAACAGCUCGUGUCUGUGUGCACACUGCCCCUGUGUCUGCUGUCGUUAACAUUGUGUGUCAAGUUGGUAAAGUGACAAAUAAAGGUGUUAAAACAUGGAUUUCUCUGUUCCUCAGAGCACACGUGUCUGUAACAGGUGAUAACAGGGGAUAGGUACUGGAGGGGCCCCAGGUGGGGAGUGUGCUGAGUGCCUCCACUGGGCUGAAGCUCACAGGGCCAAGGCCCUUGUGUCCCCUUUUCCCGAGGGAGUCUCUCGCUUCCUCAUCUAGACAGGAGGACUGUGAAGGAGGAGCAGGCGGACCAGCCAUCUGUCAGGUGUGAGUCCUGCUCUAGCACUGGUGUAGCCCUGGGUGGGGUCUAGAUUCAAGGGGAAUAGACAUGAACACUGUGAACACCACCAGAGCCCCCAAAACAGGACAAUGUCAUCACGGGCUGCUAUAAAAAAAAUGCCAACCUGAGAUACUAGCCCAGCGAAACAGUUUUCCAAAAUGAGGAUACAAUAAAGGCAUUUUUGGACAAUGAAAAGAGAAUUUGCCACCAGCAGACGUUAAAAGAAAUUCUAAAUGCAGAAAGCAAAGGUGAUCUCAAAUGGCAUGUCUGGUUUGUGAAGAAAGUGGAGCAAAGAGA
rnacentral:lncRNA from 1 species